rnacentral:ncRNA from 1 species
AAAGGAGAAUUGUAAAGGUAAAAAGAUAAAAAAUUUCAGGAGAGACACAGAAACAAAAAAUUGAGGGAAUCCUGGAACUGAAAAAUAAAAUAUCUAAAAUCUAAAAUAAGCAGGACAGUGGCCAUGGAAGUCGGAAUCAGCCAGGGAGUGUGUAACAGCUCACCUACUGAAUCAACUAGUCCUGAAAAUGGUUGACACUGGAGCACGAGGCCCAUACCAGGCAGACACUGGCAGUCAGUGACUCGGGAAAGAGGGACUGGAGUGGAGAGGGGUGGGAGGGGGAGGGGAAGGGGAGGGAGAAGGGAAGCGGCGGUGGUUCCCUUUGCGGAGCCCUCCCAGGACACAGGUCCCCCCAACCCCCACCCCACGGGGGCUAUCCCCCCACACACGAGUAGGAGGGCCACUGCAGUGAGACUCGAAGCCUAGGGCGCAGGCCUGGGUGGAGCUGCCGCAGGUGCAGAUCUUGGUGGUCGUAGCAAAUAUUCAAAAGAGCACUUUGAAGGUCCAAGUGGAGAAGGGUUCCAUGUGAACAGCAGUUGAACGUGGAAAAAAAAAGUAAAAAAAGAAAAUUAAUUAAUUAAUUAAUUAAAAUAAAAUCUAAAAUAGAUGUGAACCAUGGGCUUGAUCAUACAUUAAUACAUUUUGACGAAUCCUUAGCCACAUUUCCUUAGGUUUAUUUAAAACUUUAAUGAUACAUUUCAAUGCUCUUUUAUAUUUUUCUCUGAUGCCAUUCCCCCCUUUCCCCACUUAUUCCUUAACAUAAUAACUGUACAUUAUUACAUACCUAAGCAGUAGUAGUAUGUUUACAUUUUUUACAUUUUACAUUCUACUUCUACAAUGUGUUUUUUAUUCUAUGUCAUUUUUUAGGUUUAUGUAUAUUGAUAUUAAUUCAUUAACUCUGGUAUAUUAUUUCAUUUCUUAAAUGCAUCAUAAUUAAAUCAUCUAAUAUCUUUUGAAAUGCACAGAUGGCUUCCAGUUGCUGAGUAUUCAAAAUAGUCUUGUCAUAAACAUUUUUGCGUACAUUUCCUUGAGCACAUGUGAGAGAUUUUUCCUGUUACAUAUUUUCAUGAGCUGAAUUUCUGGUCU